GCCGGUCCUCGGUAGUGGCCCCCGGGUGAACGAACCCGGGAGCUUCGAUCGAAGACCGGC
rfam:Streptomyces sp. H-KF8 tig00000138, whole genome shotgun sequence.